GAAGAAUUCAAGAGGAGUUCUCGCGUUUUCCACAUGGCACACGACCCAAUUCGUCGAUCUUACAUAACCGACAACAUUGGAUCAUUCAUGCUCAGCUGAUCGUAAUACAUGCGCGCUGCCUCCAAUUAAAUGCGCGAUCACCGUGUCACCGAUGCAGUUGGCAUAAGAUUUUACAAAGUAAACAGAAUAAGCUUGAGACAAAGCGUAUACAGUUCGAUUUAGUCAAUCGACCGAUAACAGAGGACCCGAUACAGAAAGAAUUUGGCCUUGGCCUACUGUUUCACCAUUUGUUCAGGACAUGAAAGAACGAAUCAUCGUCGCAAAAGUCGAGCGUGAGCGUCGAUAGUCCAUUGCACAACGGUAGAAACGUGCCUACGAAUGUUCUCUACCGGCUGGUAGGCUUUAAUGGAGCGAUUCGUACCAUUUGUGAAUCAUGAUUAACACGAUUCGGUAUGCUCGACAUUGUGUCCCGUUUUUCCAACCAACUGAUGGAUCGCGUCUAGAGGCCUCCUGACCUACAUUAUUUUUCGCAACUCGACCCAUCUUUUCGUCAUUCAGUUAUAUAUAUUCGAGCGAAAGAAUAUCAGAGAAAAAAAUGUGAAACAAUGUAAUUAUAAGAAAUAGAAAAAAAUAACGAGAUAUGUUUGAGAGUAGAACUAUCUAAAGUUAUUUUUCGAUAGAGGACACUAUGUUAAGAGUGAAAGUUACAGUCAAUUUCAACAGCUCUCGAGAGUUUUAAUCUCUAAUAUAAGUAUUUUUACAUUGUCCUAAAAAUACGAAUCAAUAUAAAAAUAAAACUCUCAAGAAAAUUGUCAAAAUUUAUAUUUUCCUAGUGAUUAUCCGAUAGUAACUUUCACUCGCGCAAUUCUCACUCACGAAAAAUACUCUAGAGAGCAAUUCUCGAGAAUUUUAUUUUUAACUGUAUUUUCAUUCCCAAAAAAUAUUUAAAAAAUAAAGAUUUGAAAGUAUCUAUUAGUAUAUCUCGAUCACAAGGCAUCGAAAAACAAGGUGAUCGUAACUCGGAAAAUAAUAAUUCGAACUGAUUCAAUGAUCGAAGUUCCUUCUUCGGUUGUCUCGAUUACGUGAAAACAGUUUAUGGCGCAGGGACGGGGAGGGGAAUUUCUCAUCGAGCGGGCUACUGAAGCCCGGCCCAUGACGCGGGAGAAAGUUUCGGUAUGGACAAGAAUUACAGACUAUCGAAAUAAAUAAUAAUAAUUCUUCCAUAUGUAGCAAUCAAUUGUCUAACUUUAGACUAACUAAUUUUGCCCAAUUAUGAUUAUGAAAUAUAAUUCAUCUCGAUAAUUAUUAUCAAUUAAUUAUCCAAUAUGAUCAAUCACAAUGUAAAAUUUUUGUACAAAAUAUCUAUGUACAAUUUUAAAAUUAUUAAAUACGUUCAAAUAAAAUGAUUCAAUUCGAA